CCGCAUCGCGGAUAUAUGGCCUCUGGCGGGCACGGGCAGUCUUUGUCCUUUGAACCGGUAUAUACCUUCUUGCCACGGCACUCCAGGGAGGGGGCUGCUUUCUCCCACUGUGGACUGUGCCUCUGAACUAGCUACCGGCCCUGGACUGGCUCCCCUCCUCCCGAGGUGCACAAACAGGGCAGCCAGCCCGUCUGUAGAAAGCGCCACAGUUCGAGAUUGGAUCUUUCUCCAUCCUGGCCCAUGGUUUUUCUCUUGUCCAGGAAGGUAUUUCUAGUUAUGGAGCCAUGAAGAGAUUGGGCAUUGGAGACCAACCAAAGGCAGAUAACAAAUCGAGGAGCCUUUAUUCUUGGAAAGCUGCUAGAACUUCAGCUUCUUGCUCUGAUGGGUCGGCAUGCUGUUGGAGUCCGAGGUCAUGAUGAGUGACCACGGGAGAGGAGACAGUGGGCUCUUCGAAGAGGUGACAAUUCCUCCACCAGAUCUGCAACGAUUUAGGGAAGUCUGAGGCUUAAAACUCCCCCAGUACCUGCACUUUAAUGAAGUUAUAGAGAUUAUGUAAAUAAUCUGCAUUGUUCUGUUUUUUUUUUAAUGUUUUAAAAUUUGUUUGAGAGAGAGAGAGAGAGAGUGUGAGUGAGUGGGGGAGAGAGAGGGAGACGCAGAAUCUGAAGCAGGCUCCAGGCUCUGAGCUGUCAGCACAGAGCCUGACACAAGGCUUGAACUCACACACUGAGAGAUUAUAACCUGAGCUGAAGUCUGACGCUUAACUGACUGAGCCCCUUCUGCAUUGUUCUUUGUAGCAGUGCUUAAGCACUUUUCUCAGUGAGCUAAAAUGGGCCUGCCUACACUGAUCCACAUGCCUCUUGACA